UACGGGGGGGCAAGCGUUGUUCGGAAUUACUGGGCGUAAAGGCUCGUAGGUGGCCAACUAAGUCAGACGUGAAAUCCCUCAGCUUAACUGGGGAACUGCGUCUGAUACUGGAUGGCUUGAGUUUGGGAGAGGGACGCGGAAUUCCAGGUGUAGCGGUGAAAUGCGUAGAUAUCUGGAGGAACACCGGUGGCGAAGGCGGCGUCCUGGACCAACACUGACACUGGAUGAGCGAAAGCCAGGGGAGCAAACGGG
rnacentral:rRNA from 1 species